rnacentral:rRNA from 1 species
UACGGGGGGGGGCAAGCGUUGUUCGGAAUUACUGGGCGUAAAGGGCCAGUAGGCGGCCAACUAAGUCGGAUGUGAAAUCCCCAGGCUCAACUUGGGAACUGCAUCCGAUACUGGAUGGCUUGAAUUCGGGAGAGGGAUGCAGAAUUCCAGGUGUAGCGGUGAAAUGCGUAGAUAUCUGGAGGAAUACCGGUGGCGAAGACGGCAUCCUGGACCGACAUUGACGCUGAACGGCGAAAGCUAGGGGAGCAAACGGG